rnacentral:rRNA from 1 species
GAACGGGUGAGUACACGUGGGUGAUCUGCCCUGCACUUCGGGAUAAGCUUGGGAAACUGGGUCUAAUACCGGAUAGGAGCCAUCUUUAGUGUGGUGGUUGGAAAGUUUUUUCGGUGUAGGAUGAGCUCGCGGCCUAUNANNNUGUUGGUGGGGUAAUGGCCCACCAAGGCGGCGACGGGUAGCCGGCCUGAGAGGGUGUACGGCCACAUUGGGACUGAGAUACGGCCCAGACUCCUACGGGAGGCAGCAGCGGGGAAUAUUGCACAAUGGGCGCAAGCCUGAUGCAGCGACGCCGCGUGGGGGAUGAAGGCCUUCGGGUUGUAAACUCCUUUCGCUAGGGACGAAGCUUUUUGUGACGGUACCUAGAUAAGAAGCACCGGCUAACUACGUGCCAGCAGCCGCGGUAAUACGUAGGGUGCGAGCGUUGUCCGGAAUUACUGGGCGUAAAGGGCUCGUAGGUGGUUUGUCGCGUCGUCUGUGAAAUUCUGGGGCUUAACUCCGGGCGUGCAGGCGAUACGGGCAUAACUUGAGUGCUGUAGGGGUAACUGGAAUUCCUGGUGUAGCGGUGAAAUGCGCAGAUAUCAGGAGGAACACCGAUGGCGAAGGCAGGUUACUGGGCAGUUACUGACGCUGAGGAGCGAAAGCAUGGGUAGCGAACAGGAUUAGAUACCCUGGUAGUCCAUGCCGUANACGGUGGGCGCUAGGUGUGAGGGUCUUUCUACGACUUUCGUGCCGUAGCUAACGCAUUAAGCGCCCCGCCUGGGGAGUACGGCCGCAAGGCUAAAACU